AGAGUUUGAUCAUGGCUCAGGAUGAACGCUAGCGGCAGGCCUAAUACAUGCAAGUCGAACGGAAAGUUGAGUAGCAAUACUUAACCUAGAGUGACGUACGGGUGCGUAACACGUAUGCAACCUACACUUUACAGGAGAAUAGCCACCAGAAAGGGGGAUUAACACUUCAUGGUAUUAAGAUAAGGCAUCUUAACGUAAUUAAAUUCGCGCGGAGGUUAAGGAUGGGAAUGCGGCUGAUUAGCUAGGUGGUAGGGUAACGGCCUACCAAGGAGAUGAUCAGUAGGGGAACUGAGAGGUUGACCCCCCACACUGGCACGGAGAUACGGGCCAGACGCCUACGGGAGGCAGCAGUAGGGAAUAUUGGUCAAUGGGUGAGAGCCUGAACCAGCCAUGCCGCGUGCAGGAAGAAGGCCCUACGGGUUGUAAACUGCUUUAGUCAGGGGCUAAAGAGCUUUAUGCGUAGAGCGUUGAAGGUACCUGAAGAAUAAGCCACGGCUAACUACGUGCCAGCAGCCGCGGUAAUAC
rnacentral:rRNA from 1 species